rnacentral:rRNA from 1 species
AUUGAACGCUGGCGGCAUGCCUUACACAUGCAAGUCGAACGGUAACAGGUCUUCGGAUGCUGACGAGUGGCGAACGGGUGAGUAAUACAUCGGAAUGUGCCUAGUAGUGGGGGAUAACUACUCGAAAGAGUGGCUAAUACCGCAUGAGAUCUACGGAUGAAAGCAGGGGAUCGCAAGACCUUGUGCUACUAGAGCGGCCGAUGGCAGAUUAGGUAGUUGGUGGGAUAAAAGCUUACCAAGCCGACGAUCUGUAGCUGGUCUGAGAGGACGAUCAGCCACACUGGGAGGGAGACACGGCCCAGACUCCUACGGGAGGCAGCAGGUGGGAAUUUUGGACAAUGGGCGCAAGCCUGAUCCAGCAAUGCCGCGUGCAGGAUGAAGGCCUUCGGGUUGUAAACUGCUUUUGUACGGAACGAAAAGCCCUGGGUUAAUACCCUGGGGUCAUGACGGUACCGUAAGAAUAAGCACCGGCUAACUACGUGCCAGCAGCCGCAGUAA